AGGACGAACGCUGGCGGCGUGCUUAACACAUGCAAGUCGAGCGGAAAGGCCCUUCGGGGUACUCGAGCGGCGAACGGGUGAGUGACACGUGAGUAACCUGCCCCUAGCUCUGGGAUAGCUCCGGGAAACCGGGAUUAAUACCAGAUACGACCACUUUAGACAUCUGUCGUGGUGGAAAGGAUUCCGGCUAGGGAUGGGCUCGCGGCCUAUCAGCUUGUUGGUGGGGUAACGGCCUACCAAGGCGACGACGGGUA
rnacentral:rRNA from 1 species